rnacentral:lncRNA from 1 species
CUCCUUGGUUUCUGAAGGACUCCCCUCCAACCUGUCUGUAGGUAUGUUUGUGUAACCAGACACUGAGAGUAGCUGUCUGCCGAGGAAUUAACUCGGCAACCCCCAAAGCUUAGUUUGCAUUCAAUAGAGGUGUUUGUUUUUCAGGUUUAAAUCUCCAGACGGGUUGAAGAAGUCGCCCAAAAGGAACCACUUCGCAAAUUUUGUUUCCUCCCUUGAAAUCCCGCUGGACGUGGAGCAGAUCUUCACUUGAAGACAGCGAAGGACAAUUUGUGGAAGUUCC